rnacentral:rRNA from 1 species
AACGAACGCUGGCGGCAGGCCUAACACAUGCAAGUCGAGCGAGCAUUUCGGUGCUAGCGGCGGACGGGUGAGUAACGCGUCAGAACCUGCCCUUGGGAGGGGAACAACAACUGGAAACGGUUGCUAAUACCCCGUAGGCUGAGGAGCAAAAGGAGAAAUCCGCCCAAGGAGGGGCUCGCGUCUGAUUAGCUAGUUGGUGAGGCAAUAGCUUACCAAGGCGAUGAUCAGUAGCUGGUCCGAGAGGAUGAUCAGCCACACUGGGACUGAGACACGGCCCAGACUCCUACGGGAGGCAGCAGUGGGGAAUUUUCCGCAAUGGGCGAAAGCCUGACGGAGCAAUGCCGCGUGGAGGUGGAAGGCCUACGGGUCGUCAACUUCUUUUCUCGGAGAAGAAACAAUGACGGUAUCUGAGGAAUAAGCAUCGGCUAACUCUGUG